rnacentral:lncRNA from 1 species
AGAGCAGAGGAGGGCGGCGGGCCCGGGCGGGCUACGGGGCCGGCGCCUCCCCCGCCCCCGUGGGUCGCGGCGUCUCCGGGGCACUGACCUGCCAGCCGCCUCUCCCGGACGUUCUUCCACAGCAGAUCCCAGGCUCUGGCCGUGGAGUCCCGCAACUGCUCACUGAUGGAUCUCCUGAGCUGCGUUUGGCAAGGUUUCCGUUUGCUGGUCAUUUUAGAUCCGUCCUCAUAACGACCGGCGGGCUCUCCACCGCCACUCCCGCGUGGCCCGCGACUCAGACUCCCGGCGACUGGAAAGGACGGACGCGGCACUCCCGCCGGGGUCCCGGGACCCAAUGCGGGCGCGACAUGGGUCGGUCCGGCGCUGGGAGGCUGCGCCACGCGCGAGGACCGGGAUGCCUGGCCACCAGAAACGCCGCGCUAGGUUAUUAACCUCUGCGCUCGCCAACUCCUCUACUCCUUUCCCACUUUCCUUCUCCUCCCCUCCUCCCCUCCGUUGGGCGCUCCUCCACUCCCCUCCCUCCCCUGCCCUCCCCCUGGCUGCCUCGCGCCCCACUCCUUCCAGGAGCGCGCUUCCCCUUCCCUCCCUCGCCCAACCUGACAGCCUGGUCCCCACGGCCCCCCACUCAAGGAGCUUCCAGCUUCUUUUCCAGUUUUACCCAGAAAUCAGGGGCUGGACCAUACUCCUCCUAUUUCUUGAUACUUUCCUUUAUUUUUCAGUUUCAGAAACUACCACCUUCACAACUACAACAACAACAACAAAAAUUUAUAUAUGCCACAGUGAGAGCAUAACUCAUCCCAGUUUCCCUAAAUUCAAGUUACUUGAAGUCAGCUACUCGGUUAGGUUGACAUUCUUUUGAUGUUCAAUAUUGGUGAUCUGAACAUUAUGUUAAUCCUUCCUGAUUUCUUCAAUGAAAUAAUUAUCUGGCUGCAAACUACAAUUAAAUUAAUACGGUUUGAAGUGUCAAAAUAUUAUUUCCAUUGCAUAGCCAUUAUGAGGAGAAAAAUAACUUUAAAAUAUUCAGGUCAAACCAUAAGGAACCUACCUAAAAUAGAUUUACAUACUUUGAGAAAGCAUUACAAUCUGUAUGCAGUGAAAGAAGUACGUAUUAUGAAGAAGUGAAAUAUGAAAAUAGAAGAAUUUUAAGGUAUUUUAGCCAAAAACGUAAAGUAGGCUUGUAGUUAGAAAUUAACUCUGAUUCCUGAAGGAAAGAAGGAAAUGUAUUGGCUCUUUAAGAAAUACAUCAUCACUGAAGUCCAAGCCCACUUCCUGGACUUCAACUCAUUCAUAAGGAGAAGACAAUACUGUCUCAGGCCUCGGGGUGUCCUGCAGUUCACAAAGUUUUGUUUCUGAAGUGCUUUGAGGUCUUCCAAGAAAGUAACUGUGACAACAUUUAACUAAUUCAGAGAUGUGAUUAAUGCCUUACACCUCAGGUUUGGGGAGGGGAACAAAUUUUUCAAAAGGAAUUUCUGAAUUAUUGAAUCUGCAAAAUUGCUUGAAUCUCAUUUCUUUUUAAAUGUCUUUGUACCAAGCUGCCACAUAAGAACCAAAAUUUAAUCAGAUAUUCAUUUUAAUUCCAGGUGCUCCACAGGAAGUUUGAAAAUUAAAAGUAUUCAGUCCUUCCUCUAUUAUAUAAAUUGCUACUGACUUAGGGAAUGCAAACUAACCUCUACCUAAAGUAUUCCCUCUACACUUCUGCUACACUUCUAGUAAAUAUUCCCUCCAUCAGUUUAUCUUGUUGGUAGAAAAUGGGAAUGACAGGGAUGAUGGUAAGAAAUAGUCUUUAUUGUCUUAUUUUGUUACUUUAAAUAUUUAAAAAUGUUAACUAGUGAAACAUACCUCAGAAUGAGCUAGAAAGUAAUGAGAUACUUUUUUUGUAGAAUCCUGGUAAAUCUUUGAAAUAGUCAGUUAUGAAGCAAUAAGUCACGGAUCAGAAACGGACUUGAAACUGUGACAGCCGGUUAUAUAGACUAAUCCAGAUUGCUUUCUGGACACAAGCCAAAUACCCUUUUGAUUCCAUCCUCUGCUUUGUAUGCAUGCAGAGGUAACAAAAUGCUCUGCAAAGAACAAGACUCCUGUUGUCUUAAAGUGGCUGCUAUACAGUGUAACAACAAAAUGUUUAUCAAUUACAUUCCCAGGAAAGCUGUAUACUUGACUUUUAGAAGGGACCUCUUGUUGAAUCAAACAGACGCAAUAGUUUUAACAUUAUAUACACGGGAACAGAACAUAACCAUUCAAGCUAUUUCAGUGAUCAUUUAGCUCUCAAGAGCGUGGGCCCCUACUACUUUCUAUUCUAGCACAUAUUUUAUAUUCAGAUGCCAUUGAUUAGGAGUUUUCCUUAAAUGACUAAUUUGAAGACUAAAUUCUGGAAUUGCACAUUUGUUUAGUUCUGGCUGUUGGAUGGCCCAUGAAUUGAGGACUGUCCAAGAGAAGCCAGAUGAAAGACGGAAAUGAUCUGCCUGGAACAGGUGCCGGCUGAGCAGUGUGUGCCACCCAGCAUGGCCCAGCUCUCUGCCAGCCCCGGCUGCUGGCCCUGUUGGAAGAAACCACACAGCUGUGCAGAUGGAGCCGCCACAAAUGCCAAGUGUUCCAACCUCAACAGGAACCUCAGGGCUACUUGGAGUAAUCUGUACAGCAUCCGCUCUCAUUCUCCCCAAGAUCUGUUUCAAAGUUGAACCUUAGGUAGCAUCCCCUGUGGGGCCUUCACCAGAUGAAAAUAUCACCUAUUAGGAGAAAAGAACUCAGGUAACCCCCUAGCCCUACCUACCUUCUUGCUUACUGUCUUCCCUCCCAUCGCAGCGGAAGAGGUGUUGCUCUUCCAGCCCGAGACCACGUCCCUCACCUGUGUUGGGCUUUCUUUCCCUUCUUGUCCCUACAGGUACUUUGCUACAUUGGUUAUUUCCUCUCCCUCACAUACCCUCAAUCUCUGCCUCUCCACAGGCUCAACCCUCCAGUCUCACCCUGCUUUUAAAUAAACCAAAACUAAAAUAACAGCAGCCAUCCUAAAGCCCACUGCCUCUACCCUGUGUCCCUGGGAAGAGAAGUCUUUCCCUGUCAACACUGCAAUCUGGGCUUCCUCCCUUCCUCAAUGAACGUGAUCUUGCCAAGGUCACCAAUAAUCAUCUGGUUGCUAAAUCUAACAACGUGUUCCAGUUAUUGUUGUCCUUUCCAGGGUGCAUGGACCAUUGGACACUGUAGCCCAUUUCCUUCCUCUGACACAGGCUUGUCUCGUGGCUGUCAGGCGACACCCUCCCCUGGGUUCCUCCUUUUCACAGAUGGCCUCACAUGGUCCUUCUUAAGGCCUGACAGGCUAUAGAUAGAAAGUAUAUGUGGUUAAGAGUGUGGCUAAAGGCAGUGUCCCAUUUGAUUCUGCAUAUGUUUCUGCCUCUCAGUAGUACCUCCCUAGACGAUUGCAUUGUGGAUUAAAUGAAAUAAUCCAUUUGGCACAUAGAAAAGACUUAACCUAUGCUUCCAACAACAAUACUAUUAUAAUUACAUUACUGUCCUAGCCCAAAUCUAUCCUGAGCCCUUUCAAGAAGCCUUCCCUGACACCCAACCAAAAUAGCUCCUUCUCACGGCAUCCAGUUUAGUUUUCCUUAUAGCGCUUCCACUUCCAGACAUUGUGUUUGUUUGUUUGUGGUUGGUCUCCCAGGCAGACUGUGAGCUCCAUAAGAGCUGAGGCCCUGUCCGUCUUACUUGCUUGUGCAUCCUCAGUGCCUAAAACAGUCCCAGACAGUUAUGAUCAGUAAAUACUUGCAGAGUAAAUGAAUGAUUCUACUCUAGGGCCAUGUAUUGUUUCCCUUCCGGAUGGGUAUCUCCAAAACUUUCCUUCCAAACCUGCUCUUUCAUCUCUAUUUCCUAUGUGAGCCACCUGGUGCUACCACCCAUCUAGUGACUGAGAGAGAAAUCUAGAAGACAUCUGAAACACCUCCAUACAUCCUAUGCUGCUUCAAUCUUCCCCCACUUCUCUAUCUCCUGAGUAACUGAUUUAGUUCAGGUUUUCUCUUUCCCUUCCCUGAAUUUCAGCAUAAAAAGAGUCCCAUUUGAAAGCUCUUGGUCUCACUGCACUCUACGUCUUUAUACAUUAGCUGUUCUUGAAUGCCCUUACCCUAAUUUUUUUGUUCUUCACUCAUCCUUCGAGAUUCAACUCAGAUGUACUCAGAUGUCACCUCCUCCUUAAUCCUUCUACAAAUCCCAGUGGCUGGAUGGAUUCCUCUUCCAUUGUGUUUCUUCCAUGCUUUGGGGAUACUGCCGGAGGAGCACUUAUCAAAGAGCCAGAGUUCAGUGUCCUUACCUGUUUCUUCUCAGCUGUCCCUGCAGUCCUGAGUUCCUCCAGGCCAUUGGAUUGAAGACGUUUCCAGUGAUUGAAAUCAUCUUGACAUCACUUGUGCUAUCCUUCAGACUGUCUGUUUUAUAAAGGUUGAGUAAGUAAUUUAGCUUACCACACAACCUCGCAUUAGCAUAUCGAUUUAGGUAAUUUGUUAUGACUGUCUUAGUAUACAUAGAGUAGUUUGAGACCUCAAACAUACACUGUGAAGCAUUCUUCCAUUGCUACUGAGCUUCUUAAGGUCAAUGAACACAUCAUCUGAAGAGCAGUGAAAGCCCCAGUCCCCAGCUCCCAUAGGCAGUACAGGGAAGUGGCUGAUGGCAUAGACAGAGGAGGUAGCCAACUAGGUUCAUACCAUGGCUCCGCACCUACUAGCUGUGUAAUCUCCAUAAGUUACCCAUUUUCUGAGUUCCUCAGCCUCAGCAUCUAUAAAAUGGGGAUUAUAAUAAUGCUUCCCUCAUAGGAUUUUUGGCAAGGAUCAAAUGCAAUAAUACAUGCAAAAUAUUUAGAAUGAUGCCUGGCAUAUAAUGAGCAUGCAUUACAUUUUAAUUGCUAUUGUUGUUGUUGCUACUAUUUUGCCUAAACCAUUUCUGCAAUUCUCAUGAGAUUCCAGUCCAGCCAAAUUCUGAAUAGCCUCAUGCUAAACAGCAAGAAGUCACUCAUGAGAAUUAUAAACUAGCACUGGAUGUGGGAGGUACGAGAAUAGGAUUCACAUCUUAGCUCUGGGAAUGAUAAGGUGUAGGAGAGAUAGAAGCUAUUUAAUAUCCCUAAACAUAGACUUCCUUAUCUGUCAAAUGCAGCAAAGAACUCUUUGUUCUACCUACCCUGCUCAUACUUAAACUAUAUGUGAGAGUGUUUUAUAAUUCAAAGUGUCAUCAAAAUGAAAGGUAUUGUAAAUAAUAGGAAAGUUUAGGGAAAAUCUGCAUAUGGAGCAAGUACAUUUCCUACUUGCAUGCAUAAAAAGAUAUUUAUUCAACAAAGAUCUGUAUUCCUAGAGUGACACAGGUUUCUCCUGGUGGCCCUAGUUGUGCUCCAACUGCUGACAUAAAUCAAGGCUGAUUAAGUAUGUUUACUGGUGUGGACACUUGAAAGGGGCUGGGACCCUUGUCACCUUCCAUGGGGUAACCCUCCACUCCAAUUAUAUUUAUUCCACAAAUAUGUGUUCAACAAACCUUUGGCAUCUCUAAAGACAGGCAGCAUGUGUUCCACAUUCUAGAGGAAAAUCUUCUGGAGAUAUCUCAGUACUAACUCCCACCUUGUUAAUUAAUCUGUGUAGGUAUGGCAUUUUCUUUAGGAAUUUCAUCAUUAAUAAGACCUUGCUCUAGUUUAGCACUACCCAGGAUAAUGCGUCUUGUAAGCAUUAUUUAACAUAACAAGCACAUGAGGUCAGCAGCUACUCUUUAGAAAAACAAAACAAAACAGGCAGGGAAACAAAUUCAGAAAAGUUAUAUGAUUUGAUCAAGAUCAUCAGCUAAUAAGUUGCGGAACCAAGACUCAAAUGUUUACCAUCCAUCUUUAAAUCCAGUCUUUGGGAGGCCGAGGUGGGUAGAUCACUUGAGGUUAGGAGUUCAAGACCAGCCUGGCCAACAUAUGAAACCCCAUCUCUACUAAAAAUACAAAAAUUAACCGAGUGUGCUGGUGAGAGGUGACAGCAUGCUGGCAGUCCUCAGAGCCCUCGCUUGCUCUCGGCAACUCCCCUGCCUGGGCUCUCACUUUGGUGGCAUUUGAGGAGCCCUUCAGCCCCCCACUGCACUGUGGGAGCCCCUUUCUGGGCUGGCCAAGGCUGGAG